rnacentral:rRNA from 1 species
UACGUAGGUGGCAAGCGUUGUUCGGAAUUAUUGGGCGUAAAGGGCGCGUAGGCGGUCUUGUAAGUCAGCUGUGAAAGCCCGGGGCUCAACCCCGCGUCGGCCAUGAAUACUGCUGGGCUGGAGCACUGUAGAGGCAGGCGGAAUUCCGGGUGUAGCGGUGGAAUGCGUAGAUAUCGUAAGGAAGACCAGUGGCGAAGGCGGGUCUCUGGACAGUUCCUGACGCUGAGGCACGAAGGCCAGGGGAGCAAACGGG